GAUGAACGCUGGCGGCGUGCCUAACACAUGCAAGUCGAACGAAGCUUGACGGAUGAUUUCUUCGGAAUGAAACCAGAUAUGACUUAGUGGCGGACGGGUGAGUAACACGUGAGCAACCUGCCUUUCAGAGGGGGAUAACGGCUGGAAACGGUCGCUAAUACCGCAUGAUGUGUUCGGAUGGCAUCAUCUGAACAUCAAAGAUUUAUCGCUGAAAGAUGGGCUCGCGUCUGAUUAGAUAGUUGGUGGGGUAACGGCCUACCAAGUCUACGAUCAGUAGCCGGACUGAGAGGUUGAACGGCCACAUUGGGACUGAGAUACGGCCCAGACUCCUACGAGAGGCAGCAGUGGGGAAUAUUGCACAAUGGGGGAAACCCUGAUGCAGCAACGCCGCGUGAAGGAUGACGGUUUUCGGAUUGUAAACUUCUUUUCUUAGUGACGAAGACAGUGACGGUAGCUAAGGAAUAAGCAUCGGCUAACUACGUG
rnacentral:rRNA from 1 species